rnacentral:rRNA from 1 species
GACGGAGGAUGCAAGCGUUAUCCGGAAUGAUUGGGCGUAAAGCGUCCGCAGGUGGCAGUUCAAGUCUGCUGUCAAAGACCGGGGCUUAACUUCGGAAAGGCAGUGGAAACUGAACAGCUAGAGUAUGGUAGGGGCAGAGGGAAUUCCUGGUGUAGCGGUGAAAUGCGUAGAGAUCCGGAAGAACACCGGUGGCGAAGGCGUCCUGCUGGGCUAUGGCUGACACUGAGGCGCGACAGCGUGGGGAGCAAACAGG